GGUGUGGUGGAAAAUGGGCAAGGGACGGGCCGUCACCCCCCAAGUGGCGCGCCGUAUCUUGAUCCGGAUACGGUGGCAAGUGAGCGAGGAUUGGGUCGUCGCAUCCUUAGUGGCGCGCUACAUCGGCGCCCGGAUGUAGUGGAAAAUGAGCAAGGGUCUUCGCAUUUGACUCGACGAGUGCGAAGGGUAAGGAAGCUAGCCGAGCCUAGGAGGAUUCGCUUAGGUAGCUGGAACGUAGGGUCUCUGACAGGGAAGCUUCGGGAGCUAGUUGAUGCAGCAGUGAGGAGAGGUGUUGAUAUCCUUUGCGUCCAAGAAACCAAAUGGAGAGGACAGAAGGCGAAGGAGGUGGAGGAUACCGGCUUCAAGCUGUGGUACACGGGGACGGCUGCAAACAGAAAUGGCGUAGGCAUCUUGAUCAACAAGAGCCUCAAG
rnacentral:rRNA from 1 species